GUGAAUCAUCAAAUUUUUGAACGCAAAUUGCACUCUCUGGUAUUCUGGCGAGUAUGCCUGUUUGAGGGUCAGUUUAAAUAAAAAUCGGUGCGGUCGUUGCCUUUCGUGGUGACGCACCGGACUUGCGUCGACUUGCCUUCGGUUAAGUGACCUAAAAUCUUGCAUGAUUUUUUCGAACGUAUUUAAAUGAUUUUACGUACGUUUGC
rnacentral:misc_RNA from 1 species